CACUGAUGGACCUAUCCUCCAUGAACUUAUCUCGUUCUUUUUUGAACCCCGUUAUAGUUUUGGCCUUCACAACAUCCUCUGGCAAGAGGUUCCACAGAUUGACUCUGCAUUGUGUGAAAAAAUAUCUCCUUCUGCCUGUUUUAAAUGUGCUUCCCUUUUAAAUGGAAAUGAUGCCCUUGGUUAGUUUUGAUACCUGUUUGAAGGGAAAUCUCAUGGGUGUUCUUACUUGAUUUUCGUUUAUUUAUUCCACCCCACUUUCAUCCUUGAAACCAAUGGCAGGAAUCAUUCCUGGGGUAAAGUAUU